UACGUAGGGUGCGAGCGUUGUCCGGAAUUAUUGGGCGUAAAGAGCUUGUAGGCGGUUUGUCGCGUCUGCUGUGAAAUUUCGGGGCUCAACCCCGAACUUGCAGUGGGUACGGGCAGACUAGAGUGUGGUAGGGGAGACUGGAAUUCCUGGUGUAGCGGUGAAAUGCGCAGAUAUCAGGAGGAACACCGGUGGCGAAGGCGGGUCUCUGGGCCGAUACUGACACUGAGGAGCGAAAGCGUGGGGAGCGAACAGG
rnacentral:rRNA from 1 species